rnacentral:rRNA from 1 species
CCCGCCGGACCUGACUGCUAUCGGAUUGAUACUAAGCCAUGCGAGUCAUUGUAGCAAUACAAGGCAGACGGCUCAGUAACGCGUAGUCAACCUAACCUAUGGACGGGAAUAACCUCGGGAAACUGAGAAUAAUGCCCGAUAGAACACUAUAUCUGGAAUGGUUUGUGUUCCGAAUGAUUUAUCGCCGUAGGAUGGGACUGCGGCCUAUCAGUUUGUUGGUGAGGUAAUGGCCCACCAAGACUAUUACAGGUACGGGCUCUGAGAGGAGUAGCCCGGAGAUGGGUACUGAGACACGGACCCAGGCCCUAUGGGGCGCAGCAGGCGAGAAAACUUUGCAAUGUGCGAAAGCACGACAAGGUUAAUCCGAGUGGUUUCUGCUAAAGGAACCUUUUGUCGGUCCUAGAAACACCGAUGAAUAAGGGGUGGGCAAGUUCUGGUGUCAGCCGCCGCGGUAAAACCAGCACCUCAAGUGGUCAGGAUGAUUAUUGGGCCUAAAGCAUCCGUAGCCUGCUUUGUUAGUUUUCGGUUAAAUCUAUACGCUCAACGUAUAGGCUGCCGGGAAUACUGCAAAGCUAGGGAGUGGGAGAGGUAGACGGUACUCGGUAGGAAGGGGUAAAAUCCUUUGAUCUAUUGAUGACCACCUGUGGCGAAGGCGGUCCACCAGAACACGUCCGACGGUGAGGGAUGAAAGCUGGGGGAGCAAACCGGAUUAGAUACCCGGGUAGUCCCCAGCCGUAAACCUAGCAAACUCAGUGAUGCAUUGGCUUGUGGCCAAUGCAGUGCUGCAGGGAAGCCGUUAAGUUUGCCGCCUGGGAAGUACGUACGCAAGUAUGAAACUUAAAGGAAUUGGCGGGGGAGCACCACAA